CAAUCCUACGGGACGCAGCAGUGAGGAAUAUUGGUCAAUGGACGAAAGUCUGAACCAGCCAUGCCGCGUGCAGGAAGACGGCUCUAUGAGUUGUAAACUGCUUUUGUACAAGGGUAAACCUGAAUACGUGUAUUCAGCUGAAAGUACUGUACGAAUAAGGAUCGGCUAACUCCGUGCCAGCAGCCGCGGUAAUACGGAGGAUCCAAGCGUUAUCCGGUUUUAUUGGGUUUAAAGGGUGCGUAGGCGGAUUGAUAAGUUAGAGGUGAAAUGUCCGGGCUCAACUCGGGAACUGCCUCUAAUACUGU
rnacentral:rRNA from 1 species